rnacentral:tRNA from 1 species
GGUCUCAUGGUGUAACGGUUAGCACUCUGGACUCUGAAUCCAGCGAUCAGGGUUCAAAUCUCGGUGAGACCU